UACGUAGGGGGCAAGCGUUGUCCGGAAUCAUUGGGCGUAAAGAGCGUGUAGGCGGUUCGAUAAGUCUGCUGUGAAAGUCCAGGGCUCAACCCUGGAAAGCCGGUGGAUACUGUCGGACUAGAGUGCGGAAGAGGCGAGUGGAAUUCCCGGUGUAGCGGUGAAAUGCGCAGAUAUCGGGAGGAACACCAAGUGCGAAGGCAGCUCGCUGGGACGUUACUGACGCUGAGACGCGAAAGCGUGGGGAGCAAACAGG
rnacentral:rRNA from 1 species